UAUGGAAGAAUUAAAAACUGAAAGUCUUAAUAAGAGAAUGUAAAAUAUCCCAAUUGGUUACAUUAUUCCCCCUAACAAUGAAUUUAGCUACUCAUAAUACAAGAAGAAAAGUAGAAAAUUGUCUUAGAAUACAUCAACAAGUUUGUAAUAAAGAUGUUGAAGAAAAAGUAGAAUUCUUGCACCAAGAUCUCUUUCCGCUUUCAAUGAAUGCUUCUAAUCUCAAAUUGCUUGGUGUUAAUCUUCUUGAAUUUCUCUUUUGAAUCUCCCUUCUUGUUGUCUUCUCUCCAAUCUGUCAAGAACCCUUCAAAAGUAUGAGAAAGAUGUAUUUAUAUGUACCCCUCCAUUUUAUCUAGAAGUAGGAUUUUUAUGGAUUUAAAAAUGGCCCAAAAACGCUCCCUAGAUAUUCAAUCGCAGCGCCUAGGUGCUGAUGAUAGCGUUUGGGACUCCUGGGCGCUACCUCUCGGGUCCAAAUUUCAUCUUUUUUUUCAGUUUCGUAGUGCCUAAGCACCGUCUUUCUGCCCCAAUUCCAUGUUUUUGGCCUCUUCGUCCAGUUUAACACCUAUUUUCAUAUCCCUUCUCCUAAUCUUCAAAACAACACUAACAAACACAUAAAAAACGUUCAAUACUCACAUGAUCUAGCAUUUAAUCAUGCUAAAAUUGUACAAAUAUCAUGAGUGAAACAAACUCAUCAACUAACAUGUCUCAAAGAUUGAGAAUGAAAAUAUCAAAUUCCUUUCAAUUAACAAUUGGAAGAAUACUUUUCAAUAUUGGUAUGAUAGUUGACCCUUUUUAGCAAGGAGUUACUGGAUUCUUAUGGCAAUAAUUAAACGAAAUGAGGUAAUCCCCUGUUUUAUUUGAUUAAACUAGUUGCUUUCAACAAGAUUAUUAGAAUCUUCAAUUACAUCAAUCUAAACAUGUUUUACAAAUGCUUCAACUGGAAACAAUAUUCAGUUAUUUGCUAUUGGUUUCGACAAGAGAGUAGCCGCUAUGAAUAAGUGAGAUAAGGGACUAACCGAAUGUGUUUGAACAAUGAUUGGUAGAAUCUAGUCUAGAUAAAAUAGCCCA
rnacentral:lncRNA from 1 species